GAUGAACGCUAGCGGGAGGCUUAACACAUGCAAGUCGAGGGGCAGCACGUCUUCGGAUGGUGGCGACCGGCGCACGGGUGCGUAACGCGUAUGCAACCUACCUUAUACAAAGGGAUAGCCCAUGGAAACGUGGAUUAAUACCUUAUAGUACUAUAAAGCUACCUGGUUUAAUAGUUAAAACUUCGGUGGUAUAAGAUGGGCAUGCGUAGGAUUAGCUAGAUGGUGGGGUAACGGCCCACCAUGGCGACGAUCCUUAGGGGUUCUGAGAGGAUUAUCCCCCACACUGGUACUGAGACACGGACCAGACUCCUACGGGAGGCAGCAGUGAGGAAUAUUGGUCAAUGGGCGCGAG
rnacentral:rRNA from 1 species